rnacentral:lncRNA from 1 species
AGUUGGGUCUGGAAGAAAUAAAAAAGACUUUGAGAACGGUCGUCCUGAAGCCUUCGGGAAGGGGACAAAGAGUACAGACCGGGGUAGUUAUUGUUUCAAAAGUGGGAUAUGGCGCUACAAUCUGCUUUCUGUGUGGCGGACGUCCGCAGCUUCCGCGGGGGCAGAAGUUUCUUCAUGUUUAUUCCUUUAAACAAUACUUUUCUGAUACACAAGAAAAGCUGGGAGGAUGGCAAGUGGGAACCAGCAGCAAGCGAGGCUCCGGAUGGAAGCCACCACUGUGGUUUCAGGGUUGGAAAUUUGGUGCACCUUUGGAAGCUCUGAAGAGGGAGGCACUUGUGUGUCUUCUUGCAAAAGGCAUGCUCCUGUCCUGAUCAAGCCAUUGAAGACCCUCCAUUGCCUUGGGGAAAACCUUAUGCUUCUGGUUUGACAUUCUUGUUUGUGUUUCCAUUACCUAGUCCUAGGAAACUCCAACUUAUCCCGAUCCUUCCUGCCUUUUUUUUUUCUUGGUAUAGAUCCCUCUCCCAGUCCAUGAAGCUGGUUGUUUGAAGACUUUUGGUCAGUACCACCUGUUGGUCAUUUAAACAAUGACUCAACCUGUGACUGAAAUUCUAAAUGGAAGACAAAUAUUACAGAUAUUUGAAUAUCCCUUGGUAAUUUACUGAUUGUGACUACCCAAUAUAUUCAAGCACACACAAUGGGCUGCAUAUGUAUCCCACAGUGGUCCUCUAAGGUUAUAAGGGAGCUGAAAAGUUCCUGUAACCUUGUGAUACUAUAACUUCACAAUAAAAUGCAGUAUCCAUGUUUUUGUGGAGCUGCU